rnacentral:rRNA from 1 species
AUGAGCGCUAGCGGUGUGCCUUAGGCAUGCAAGUCGAGCGGUUCGGCGCAAGCCGGACAGCGGCAAACGGGUGAGUAAUGCGUAGGAACAUACCUUCAAGUGGGGGAUAGCUCCGCGAAAGCGGGGAUAAUACCCCAUAGCGUCCGGCGCAAGUCGGACUAAAGAGAGUAACUUCUCGCUUAAAGAGUGGCCUACGUCCUAUCAGCUUGUUGGUGGGGUAAAAGCCUACCAAGGCGAUGACGGGUAGCUGGACUGAGAGGUCGGUCAGCCACAAGGAGACUGAGACACGGCUCCUACACCUACGGGUGGCAGCAACUAGGAAUAUUGCGCAAUGGACGAAAGUCUGACGCAGCGACACCGCGUGAAGGAUGAAGGUUUUCGGAUCGUAAACUUCUUUUCUCCAACAUAGUGUUGGAGGAAUAAACACCUACAAACUACGU